rnacentral:rRNA from 1 species
GACGAACGCUGGCGGCGUGCUUAACACAUGCAAUUCGAACGGUGAACGAGGGAGCUUGCUCCCUCCGGAUCAGUGUCGAACGGGUGAGUAACACGUGAGCAAUCUGCCCCGAACUCUGGGAUAAGCGUUGGAAACGACGUCUAAUACCGGAUACGACGCGGGAGGGCAUCCUCUCCGCGUGGAAAGAACUUCGGUUCUGGAUGAGCUCGCGGCCUAUCAGCUUGUUGGUGAGGUAACGGCUCACCAAGGCGACGACGGGUAGCCGGCCUGAGAGGGUGACCGGCCACACUGGGAAUGAGAAACGGCCCAGACUCAUACGGGAGGCAGCAGUGGGGAAGAUUGCACAAUGGGCGCAAGCCUGAUGCAGCAACGCAGCGUGAGGGACGAAGGCCUUAGGGUUGUAAACCUCUUUUAGCAGGGAAGAAGCGAAAGUGACGGUACCUGCAGAAAAAGCACCGGAUAACUACGUG